rnacentral:rRNA from 1 species
UCGGGAAUUUUGGGCAAUGGGCGAAAGCCUGACCCAGCGACGCCGCGUGGGUGAUGAAGGCCUUCGGGUCGUAAAGCCCUGUCAGAAGGAAAGAACGAUCUUAUGGUGAAUACCCAUGAGAUGUGACGGUACCUUCGAAGGAAGCACCGGCCAAUUCCGUGCCAGCAGCCGCGGUAAGACGGAAGGUGCAAGCGUUGCUCGGAAUCACUGGGCGUAAAGGGUGCGUAGGCGGCUUCUUAAGUCUGGUGUGAAAGCCCAGGGCUCAGCUCUGGAAGUGCACUAGAUACUGGGAAGCUUGAGUAUCGGAGGGGAGAGUGGAAUUCCUGGUGUAGCGGUGAAAUGCGUAGAUAUCGGGAGGAACAUCAGUGGCGAAGGCGGCCCUCUGGUCCAGUACUGACACUCAAGUGCGAAAGCGUGGGGAGCAAACAGGAUUAGAUACCCCAGUAGUCCCUGAGCGGGCUGGCAAGGCGCAU